GGUUGGCAUCAAUAUCAUGCAAAUUGAUUGAAAAAACUACUUGGUAUUUUUUAAAAACUAUUUUAAAAACAAGAAUGUGUCCCCAGUACACGGAUGCCCCAUCCGCACUUUCAUUUUCUAUGUUCAGUGGACCGUGAAAAUAGGGCAAAAUCUCUAAUUUAACAUUUAAAUUAGAAAGAGCAUAUCAUAGGGAACAUGUGUACUUCAAGUUGAUUGGACUUCAACUUCAUCAAAAACUACCUCGACCAAAAACUUUAAGCAAAACUUUAACCUGAAGCGGG
rnacentral:lncRNA from 1 species